UCGACGAAGUGAGCGAUCUAACUGGCGCAGGAAAAAACGACUAGAGCGGGACCGCAGAUUGGAGAUGAGCCGUUAUUUAGCCUAUAGUGACAUAAAUACAGCGUUCAAAGACAAAUCAGUGAAAAUUUUCAGCUAUUACAACAAUGUCACAGUUCGUUUCCGGCGGAAGUAACAUAUCAUUCUGGGAAACAUUACACGGUGGAGCGCCCUCUACUAAUCGUCCACAUUCCUUGUAAGCUGAUGAUACAGUGCCACCUGUAAAAGUGAGACAAACGUCACAGUUAAACCUCGUAAAAUCGGCUGCAAACUAAACCAUCAGCAAGAUAUCACGUGAGCUGUGAGAUCGUGGUUAAGUUCACACCACGUGACAUUUGGUGCGCACUGCGCAAAGUUUCAUCCGCAUUGUGUAAGGUGAAAGUGCUCAAUAGCAAACUCACAACACACAGAUCGAGCAUUUGCCCGGACACAGUCGCACAACGUCAGCCGAUACUAGUAAGUGAUGUCGUCUGCUUACAGAACACAACGUCAGCCGAUACAAAUAUGAGAGAAUCCGUGAACAAUUCAGAUUUAUGUAAUUAUCUCCCUUCUGUCCUCAAAAACUAUACGAGAAAGUAUAUUGGUGAAAACUACGGAAUUCCGUUAGGGCCUUUGAAUGAUUGUAUUGAUCUGAAACGCGAUACUCGAUAGUACGAUGAUAAAAACGCGAAAUCACGAAACCACGAUAACGAAAACGCGAGAGCACGAUGAUGACUUGAAAACGCGAUACUACGAUAACGAAAAUGCGAUAAUACAAUAGUACGAUGAUGAUAAUGCGAUAUACUAUCGUGUUUUCUACGGAAUUCCGUUAGGGCCAUCACCUUUGAAUGUGUUGUUCUGAAACGCGGUACGCGAAAUUACGAAACUACGAUAACGAAAACGCGACAACACGAUGAUGAUAACGCGAUACCACGAUAACGAAAACGUGAUGAUAUGAUAGCACGAUGAUGAUAAUGCGAUAUACUAUCGCGUUUUCACCAUCGUACUGUCGCGUUUUCAUCAUCAUACUAUCGCGUUAUCACCAUCGUACUGUCGCGUUAUCACCAUCGUACUAUCGCGUUAUCAGCAUCGUACUAUCGCCUUCCGGUGCUCAUGCGUAUAGAAACAUUUCCCCUCAAUGUGACAAAAUGUCUGACCCAGAGUGAGAUUACGAAGGGAAACAUUAGGCUAAUUCUGAUUCAUAAAUUAGUACAAUAGUGCGAUAAUGAUAACGCGACAGUACGAUGGGGAUAACGCGAUAGUACGAUGGUGAUAACGCGACAGUACUAUGUUGAUAACGCGUCAAUACGAUGGUGAUAACGCGACAGUACGAUGGUGAUAACGCGAUAGUACGAUACUACGAUAACGAAAACGCGAUAUCACGAUAUUACGAUGGUGAAAACGCGGCGGUACGAUGGUGAAAACGCGAUAGUAUAUCGCAUUAUCAUCAUCGUACUAUCGUAUUAUCGCAUUUUCGUUAUCGUAGUAUCGCGUUAUCAUCAUCGUGUUGUCGCGUUUUCGUUGUCGUAGUUUCGUGUUUUCGCGUUUUCAUCAUCGUACUAUCGAGUAUCGCGUUUCAGAUCAACACAUACAAAGGCGAUGGCCCUAACGGAAUUCCGUAGCGUGAAGAAAUGGUAUAAAAGAUACUUUCAAGGUGUAGAUGAGCAACAUUCACAUGGACCCGACUCAGUUAUAUCGAUGUAAGACCACGCAUUCAGCAGUUUACAGUGGAAGAGGACGAAUGCAGGAUAAAUGCUGAUAAUUGUUCCGGUGCUUGACUGACUCUCGAUUUUGUCGUAUUAAACGGUUAUACAGGAGGUCGGAUGCUAAUACAGUAAACCAGGCAGCGGAAAUGGAUGGUAAGAUAGUGCAGCCACAAGUAUCAAUGAAGCUAACGUUGCCAACGUCACAAAUAGUGAUCCCAGCAUAAAGACGUAUUACAUCACAGUAUUUUACGUUUACGUUGCUGAAGUCAACAUGAUUAGGAAACGUGUCACCAAAUACUAACGCCGAGAAAAUAUUCUCAAUAUUUGCUGUUCUGCUUGGUUGGCUGCUGAGUACUGCAAUCUUCGACGGUAACGUCUCUUUUAAAAUGAUGCGGGUGUAUCAGCGGACAGAUGACCACCAAGAAAAAAAAUUAAACACUUUCAUCAUCUUCCGAAGAAUCCUGCACACUGAUUGCACACUGAUUGCAAGAGACCUUCCAACACAUCUGGCUGUACACUUACGGAACACGGUUUUAAAGAGUUUCCCGGAGUGCCUUCAAGCAAAUAUAUAACUUCAUUUGAACAGAAACUUGCUGAAUAAGUGCCCAGCGUUCCAGAAGGCAUUUACAGGAUAUCUUCGUCUCUUAACUAUGCAGUACGCCCCCUGGUGACACAUUGCUACAUCCGGGUGAUAUACUGACAGCUCUCUAUGUAAUUGCAUGCAGUUCAUUGGAGAUUGUUACAGUAAAAUAUUUGGUAUAGCGAUAUGAGGAUGGUUAGAUACUGCAGCCACGAGAAUCAUUGAAACUUACGUUGCCAACGUUACAGAUAGUGGACCCAGCAUAAAGACGUAUUACAUCACAGCGUUAUAUUUUACGUUUACGUCACUGAUGUCAACAGGAUUCGGAAACGUGUCACCAAAUACCAAUGGAAUUGACAUGGCGGUUUGUUUGUACAGGCUUUCUAUGAAUCAAGUAGUGUACCGGUGAUGACAUUCGGGGAUUUCCGUGAGAUUACGUAAUUCUCCGUGUGUGAUAUCGGAAUCCUUCUGUCAUGAU